rnacentral:rRNA from 1 species
UACAGAGGUGGCAAGCGUUGUUCGGAAUUACUGGGCGUAAAGGGCGCGUAGGUGGCCUUCUUAGUCAGACGUGAAAUCCCUGGGCUUAACUCAGGAACUGCGUCUGAUACUGGAAGGCUCGAGUUCGGGAGAGGAAUGUGGAAGUUCCAGGUGUAGUCGGUGAAAUGACGUAGAUAUCUGGAGGAACACCGGUGGCGAAGGCGGCAUUCUGGACCGAAACUGACCACUGAGG